UGGGGAAUAUUGCACAAUGGGCGAAAGCCUGAUGCAGCAACGCCGCGUGAGUGAUGAAGGUCUUCGGAUUGUAAAGCUCUGUCUUUUGGGACGAUAAUGACGGUACCAAAGGAGGAAGCCACGGCUAACUACGUGCCAGCAGCCGCGGUAAUACGUAGGUGGCGAGCGUUGUCCGGAUUUACUGGGCGUAAAGGGUGCGUAGGCGGAUGUUUAAGUGAGAUGUGAAAUACCCGGGCUUAACUUGGGUGCUGCAUUUCAAACUGGAUAUCUAGAGUGCAGGAGAGGAGAAUGGAAUUCCUAGUGUAGCGGUGAAAUGCGUAGAGAUUAGGAAGAACACCAGUGGCGAAGGCGAUUCUCUGGACUGUAACUGACGCUGAGGCACGAAAGCGUGGGUAGCAAACAGGAUUAGAUACCCUGGUAGUCCACGCCGUAAACGAUGAGUACUAGGUGUAGGAGGUAUCGACCCCUUCUGUGCCGCAGUAAACA
rnacentral:rRNA from 1 species